GGAUUUGGAUUGUGGACAGCCUAUGACAAGGAUGAGGAGCCCUAUUCUAGCCAGUUAAAGCCGGACAGAAUUUUUAAAAGCAGUGAAGCCAGUUCCUUGGAUAUAUCCGCGGGUUUUGCUUUGAGAAGGAAUUGAGUAGGCAGUGAGAAAAGCCAAGUGCAGCCUGGCCCGUGAGUGCCUCGACAACUGAGAUGAACAUCGACUCACAGGCAAGUUUUCACUCAGCAGCGAUCUGGACUGUAUCCUGGGUUCCAGAAAAGGCAGAGGUUCUUGCCGAAAGCAGGGGAGGAAGCUGCAGCCCAGGGAGGUCGUGACUUGCCGGGAAGGUGGCUCGGGCCAGGCUGCACUCAAAACCCGUGCUCUGUCCACACUGCUACGGGGCCAGAGCCAAGAAAGCUGCGACUUCUUCCCUCAGCCAGCGCCGACAGCAGCUACCCCACGGAGCCAGCAGCCCUGUGUCCUGGGAUCCCCAGUCCCUGCAGAAUGGCCCACCAAGAUCUGAGGUGAGCGGGACGGGGGCAGGCGGAGGCCCUGGCCCCUGGGCCUGGGGAGAGAGUCGCUAUGGUGAUAGCACAUCCAGGUUUCUGAAGAACAAGCUGAGUCCUGAGGAAGAGCAAGGACCCUGCUCCCCAUAUAACAUACACACUACCUCUACUGCGGCAAAUACAUACACACAAGCAUCUGUGCAUUUAUAUAUUAUUGUUCAACAUAGUUUGUUUGGGUUCAUCUUCUCUGACUGCCAAGUUUAGUUCACAGUUCUCUUUAUCGUACCAAGUUUCUUCCUUUGUGAAAGGCCCGCUGUCAUCCACUCUUACCACUUCCAGGUAAAUCGAUCGCCAAAUAUUUUGUUCACAGUCUGCCUCCCGCUUGAAAGAUAAGAAAAGUUUAGUGGGUUCCAAGGAGUCUGAGAAGCUUUGUUUUCUAUAUCUGGUCUUCCAAAGCUCCUAUACCCAGCAGGGUGGGGGGCAUGUUAUCUCAACUGUGGCUUGACUUUUGGCUGG